rnacentral:rRNA from 1 species
CGGGCGAGGCGCCGGUCUAAGUCCCUUGGAACGGGGCGUCAUAGAGGGUGAGAAUCCCGUCUGCGACCGGUGGCCGAGUCCAUGUGAAACCCCUUCGACGAGUCGAGUUGUUUGGGAAUGCAGCUCAAAAUGGGUGGUAAAUUUCAUCUAAAGCUAAAUACCGGCCAGAGACCGAUAGCGCACAAGUAGAGUGAUCGAAAGAUGAAAAGCACUUUGGAAAGAGAGUCAAACAGUACGUGAAAUUGUUGAAAGGGAAGCGCUUGCGACCAGACCUGCCCGCGGGUGAUCAACCGUCCUUCUGGGCGGUGCACUCGCCCGCGAUCAGGCCAGCAUCGGUUCGGGCGGCCGGAUAAAGGCCUUGGGAACGUGGCUCCUCUUCGGGGGAGUGUUAUAGCCCUCGGCGCAAUGCGGCCAGCCUGGACCGAGGACCGCGCUUCGGCUAGGAUGCUGGCGUAAUGGUCGUAAGCGGCCCGUCUUGAAACACGGACCAAGGAGUCUAACAUUUAUGCGAGUGUUUGGGUGUCAAACCCAUGCGCGCAAUGAAAGUGAACGGAGGUGGGAACCCCUUCCGGGGCGCACCAUCGACCGAUCCAGAUGUCUUCGGAUGGAUUUGAGUACGAGCAUAAACGUUGGGACCCGAAAGAUGGUGAACUAUGCCUGAAUAGGGUGAAGCCAGAGGAAACUCUGGUGGAGGCUCGCAGCGGUUCUGACGUGCAAAUCGAUCGUCAAAUUUGGGCAUAGGGGCGAAAGACUAAUCGAACCAUC